AUUGAACGCUGGCGGCAUGCCUUACACAUGCAAGUCGAACGGUGACAGGUCUUCGGAUGCUGCCGAGUGGCGCACGGGUGAGUAAUACAUCGGAACGUGCCCAGACGUGGGGGAUAACGAGGCGAAAGCUUUGCUAAUACCGCAUACGAUCUAAGGAUGAAAGCAGGGGACCGCAAGGCCUUGUGCGUUUGGAGCGGCCGAUGGCAGAUUAGGUAGUUGGUGGGAUAAAAGCUUACCAAGCCGACGAUCUGUAGCUGGUCUGAGAGGACGACCAGCCACACUGGGACUGAGACACGGCCCAGACUCCUACGGGAGGCAGCAGUGGGGAAUUUUGGACAAUGGGCGAAAGCCUGAUCCAGCAAUGCCGCGUGCAGGAUGAAGGCCUUCGGGUUGUAAACUGCUUCUGUACGGAACGAAAAGGCUCUGGCUAAUACCUGGGGCACAUGACGGUACCGUAAGAAUAAGCACCGGCUAACUACGUG
rnacentral:rRNA from 1 species